GACGAACGCUGGCGGCGUGCUUAACACAUGCAAGUCGAACGGAAAGGCCCUGCUUUUGUGGGGUGCUCGAGUGGCGAACGGGUGAGUAACACGUGAGUAACCUGCCCUUGACUUUGGGAUAACUUCAGGAAACUGGGGCUAAUACCGGAUAGGAGCUCCUGCUGCAUGGUGGGGAUUGGAAAGUUUCGGCGGUUGGGGAUGGACUCGCGGCUUAUCAGCUUGUUGGUGGGGUAGUGGCUUACCAAGGCUUUGACGGGUAGCCGGCCUGAGAGGGUGACCGGCCACAUUGGGACUGAGAUACGGCCCAGACUCCUACGGGAGGCAGCAGUGGGGAACAUUGCACAAUGGGCGGAAGCCUGAUGCAGCAACGCCGCGUGCGGGAUGACGGCCUUCGGGUUGUAAACCGCUUUCGCCUGUGACGAAGCGUGAGUGACGGUAAUGGGUAAAGAAGCACCGGCUAACUACGUG
rnacentral:rRNA from 1 species